rnacentral:lncRNA from 1 species
CCGUAAUCAUCGCCCCCCGUGCUUGGCUCACACAGUCGCUCCGGGAAGGAGUUCGCAGCUCGUGUACGUGCUCGGUUGCUGAAGGUAUGAUGUUCGAUUAGAUGUUGUUAGUGCACCUACGGUUAUCAGUGGGGAUUUAGUCAGGUGACAUUUUUGAGGCAACCAUGUUGUGACAAAGCUGAUUGAGUUGUGUAUUUGAAUCCUGGGUGGCUUAAUUUGUCACUAUCAGCUAGCUAUAAUUGAUGUUGAGUCAUUGUUUUUUGUGGCGGUUGCUUGAUUCCUGUGGUAUUCACAGGUUAUAAUGUCACAUUAUUACCGGCACUAACUAACAAAGAGUUCCAGGGUCACAAGCAAGUUGAUAUCUGCACAGUUUGUAUCAGAAAUACAUGUGACCCCAUCAUUUGACAUCUGAACUUUGCUGAUGCUUAUGCCAUUGUAUGCACAACAUGCGCCUUCGCCACAUUGUCAUUCAUUUGUGAGAUGUUUCUCUUUCUCUUAUGUUGGCAUGGAUGAUAUAGAGUAGUGGAAGAAUGUUAGUGAAACACAUACAUGCAUGCUAUCUAUCUGCUUCUUUCCAUGUGUGUAGUAACAUAUUUGUUGUUCAAAUCAAGAAAUUGUAACGCAUUUUCUAUACUAUAUGCAGCCCAAUGAAAUGUAUGGCCUUGAGCUCCAUUAUUUAGGCCUGAUCUCAUGAGAGGUGGUAUGUCUAUUGCAUUGGCAUACAAUAAGGUAAAGAAUUGCAUUGGCAUACCAAAUCUGUUGAUGAAAUGUGCUUCAGGAGUGCUAAGCAGUGAAAAAAAUAAACAUAAUAGCAUACCAAAUGUACCCUGUUAAGCAUAAAUGGUCUGAGUUAUAUUAGGAGGCGUGCCCAUCCGUCUGAAGACUGCUCUUAGUAUAUUCUUCUCUUUUCCAUGUUGUAACAUUUAGAUCAGUCCACUUAUCGGAUUUUAAUUCCAUGUGCUCGGAUGCAUAUUUGAAUAAAUCAACCAGUCCUUCUAGCUGUUGUACCAACAAAUGAAAAAAAUUAUGAGCAUGACAAGUGAGAAAUAAGAGAAAAAAUAGCUUCUUAUGAAAAGAUGGGGCAGUAGGACUAACUACUAACCGUAUUAGUGAGGUCCUUGCGGUUCAUUGAUGGGCCUAGCGAGUCGAGCACUUGAACACAUAGUUUUCUGGCAUUUAUAACACAUAGGUACCAGUGAACUUCGUCCAUGUUUAUUGGAAUGAAUAUCUGAAGAAAAUGAUUAUUUUAGUUGUACUCCUAUGUGGACGAAUCGGUCGUUCUCGCUGUAAUUCAUAGAAAUAUGUAGAAAAGUAAGACUAACCGUAUCAUUUUCCAUAUACUCUUUGGCUCUGUUUAAUACCCAUGCAGGUGUGGCAUCCGUGUUAUCUGAGGACGGAUAGCAACCGAUCUUUAUCAUGUUAGAGAUGCAUGCAUUCUCUAAGAACACACUUCCACCUGACCUUACUUGUAGAUGCUCCGUAGCCAAUCACGAUCUUCAUCGGCUAUAGAAAUUGAGUGACUGUAAGUUAGGAAAUCAAAGAUUGGAUAUGCAGUGUUUCAUGUAGCUGGCAUCACCUGUGUCGGAUUGUUUUUGUUCUCCAGUUGUAAGGACUACUGUAGAUUUGGCUCGAUGCCGUUUGUCAUGUAGGCUUUGUAAUAUACCUUGUUUAUAUUGCUCAUACCGGGCACUUUCCCUCUGCCUCUUGAGUGCUUGUUUUGCUUCUGUAUAAUAAGUGUUAAUUAGGUACACGACAACAUGAGCAACAAUGUUUUGUCAAUCAGAUGUACGGUGUAAGUGUAAAUUAUGUAUGAUAGUUAAUAUGAGCCACAACUGAGUACCAUAUUAACUGCUGCAUCUGUAGGCUUGAAGUGGCGGUCGUAACACAGUCGGUUGGGAGGACUCAAUGUCAGAGUCGAUACUAUGGACAUUUUCCUUGUUAGAACCGGCACUAUCUGAUGUUCUUAAUGAAUUUGGAGCAUGAAGUGGAGUCUGAUCACUCAUUAUCAUAUCAACAGGUAUGCCUGCAUCAUAAUUGUAUGUACAAUGUCAGUUGUUGACACACGAACUAAGGUAUUAUGUUUGACAAGAGAACACAUGACCUUCCACAGCUGGGGUGUGUCGUUGCUGGGUGACAGCAGACUACGCCCUGGGCCUGUCCACAGUGUCAAAACCUGUCCAAAAGAACACUUAAUUAACACGACUUUACUUGUGAUUCAUGAAAUGUAUGAGAAAAUGGAGUAACCAGGCGACAUGGCCACGGGUGGCUUAGAUAGAGUGUUGGUUCCAUUUAGAAUAGCAGACGUAACUUUCUUAGAUCCCUUGCCUCCUGUCUUAUUUUUUUAGUAUUGCAUCCCUGUUUACCUCUCCCUCUCCCUCUGUCUCUUUAGUUCUUUUGGAUCUGUUUUUUGACCUGCGAGGCAAUGACAUAUUCUGGAUUUAUGAGAUUGAAGUACGUAAGAGUACAUGAUAUAUGUAUAUACCUGAAUUGCCGUUGUACGUCAGGUCCUGAAAGGGAGUACGUGCCCCACUAUGCUCAGAGGAUGCCAUAUUGUCAACUCAGUUUGUCAUGCAGAUCAUGAUGUACUGUAAGUAUCAAAUUUCAUAGUACAAAUUACAAAUUGUCAGAUUAAAAGAGCAAUUUCCUUCUGUCUUCUGCCUGAUCAUCUAUACUUGCUAAUUCAAAUGAUCUAACCUGUGCGCUGGCAGGUCAGAAAGUAGUCAUAUGUCCUCGAGAUGCCGCGGGCCACACGGGGUGAUAACACCGGAGGUAGGGCAGCACGCCGGGUGGAGAACGUCGCGGCCACCAGGGGCGACGGCGGUGUGGCGACGACGGCGGGGCGAGGAGAGGUUGGGCAGCAAGGCGGGUCGAGGAAGGACGUGCACCGGGGUGGAGGACAUCGCGGCCACCAGGGGCUAGGGUGGCGUGGCGACGGCGACGGGGCGAGGAGAGGUACGGCAGCAAGGCGGGUCGAGGAUGUCCACCGGGUAAGGACGUCGCAGACACCAGCGCUGAUCGCGGCGGUUCCUGGCGUGGUGGCGGCGUAGAUCGUGGAGGUGCUGUUUAUUUCCCAGGAGUUGUCAUCGUGGGGCUGUGUAGCAUCCUGAACGGGGGAGUCUGCCGGCAGAACAUUUGUUGUGAACUGUCGAUCUGAUUGUAGUAUGGUUGACGUAACGUGGACAGUUAGAUGGUACCAAGUGAGUCUGAUCGGACGUGGGGGGUUAUCCUGUGUGCACUUUCUGGUGUGGAUGUAGGGGAAGUCAUGUUUGGUCUUUUAAUAGUAGUGUAGAAGUGUAGAUGUAGAUUUGAAUAUCUUUUUUUUAAUAUAUAUAUUUUUUGAAAUUCUGUUUUUUAUAAAAAAAUAAUUAAACAGAUUUUGAAAUUCAAUUCUGAAUAUUUUUUGAAAUUUAAAA